AACGAACGCUGGCGGCAUGCCUAACACAUGCAAGUCGAACGAGACCUUCGGGUCUAGUGGCGCACGGGUGCGUAACGCGUGGGAACCUGCCCUUAGGUUCGGAAUAACUCCCCGAAAGGGGUGCUAAUACCGGAUAAUGUCUUCGGACCAAAGAUUUAUCGCCUUUGGAUGGGCCCGCGUUGGAUUAGCUAGUUGGUAGGGUAAAAGCCUACCAAGGCGACGAUCCAUAGCUGGUCUGAGAGGAUGAUCAGCCACACUGGGACUGAGACACGGCCCAGACUCCUACGGGAAGCAGCAGUGGGGAAUAUUGGACAAUGGGCGAAAGCCUGAUCCAGCAAUGCCGCGUGAGUGAUGAAGGCCUUGGGGUUGUAAAGCUCUUUUACCCGGGAUGAUAAUGACAGUACCGGGAGAAUAAGCUCCGGCUAACUCCGUG
rnacentral:rRNA from 1 species